ensembl:lncRNA
UGGAAAACAAUUUUUAAAACUUUGAAAUAGCAUCCCAGAGAAAUUUGAGAGAAAAUGUGUGGUUUGUUUUCAAACACGGAAGUAAUAGUAAGUGUCUCCCUGGAAGACCUCCUACUGCAGCACACAUUUCACCAGCUUUCAGCUCUGACUUUUAACACCAUCGUCACCAGUACCACUGCCAACAACACGUAUCCAGAGCCUCAAAAGAGCCUCAGUCGGGCAGGGAACCCUCUGUCACGUAUGUUCUCUUUUACAGUGAUCCCUUCCCUUAAAACCUUCCUCUGGAGAGGGACUCUGCCACCUGUAGUUAAGAGAGGGAGAGGGAGAGACUGUGCCUGUGGAUCCCUGCUCCUGUCCCGCUUAGCUUAGCAGAGUAUGCUUCUUGCAUCCCCUGAAAAAAAUCAGAGCAGACUGUCUUUUGGUUCAGAAAACAACCUUGCAGUGCAAUGUGAAAAUUUUCUGUUGGGGUCUUGGUUUGUAAUGCAUCUUGACCCAGAGAGCUUUUUAUCUCUGCCUCAGUAACCUCCUCUUAUCACUCUGCGGGAGCCGGCUGUCUGCCUUCAGGUACCUUUCCAACAGACACAGCAG